ensembl:snoRNA SNORD114-30 small nucleolar RNA, C/D box 114-30
UGGAUCAAUCAUGACUACCGGUAUUGGGUGGGUCUUAGUCAGUGAAUACCUAUCUGGAACUCUGACGUCCAU